CUCUGUCUCCGUGUCUCUCUCCGUGUCUCCGUGUUGUCUCCGUGUUGUCUCCACGUCGUCAUGGGUCGCUUCUCGUCGGUCGACGGCAGUGUGGACGGCUCCAUCCACCCUCGUGCCGUCCGUCGGCGCUAGGACUCAUCCAGCAGCGGCAGAGCCUGGCAGGUCAAAGGUCACGUGAGGGUGACUCAUCCAGCAGCAGCAGAGCCUGGCAGGUCACAGGUCACGUGAGGGUGACUCAUCCAGCAGCAGCAGAGCCUGGCAGGUCACAGGUCACGUGAGGGUGACUCAUCUAGCAGUGGCAGAGCCUGGCAGGUCAAAGGUCACGUGAGGGUGACUCAUCCAGCAGUGGCAGAGCCUGGCAGGUCAAAGGUCACGUGAGGGUGACUCAUCUAGCAGCGGCAGAGCCUGGCUGGUCACGUGAGGGUGACUCAUCUAGCAGUGGCAGAGCCUGGCUGGUCACGUGAGGGUGACUCAUCUAGCAGCGGCAGAGCCUGGCAGGUCAAAGGUCACGUGAGGGUGACUCAUCUAGCAGCGGCAGAGCCUGGCUGGUCACGUGAGGGUGACUCAUCUAGCAGCGGCAGAGCCUGGCAGGUCAAAGGUCACGUGAGGGUGACUCAUCCAGCAGUGGCAGAGCCUGGCAGGUCACAGGUCACGUGAGGGUGACUCAUCUAGCAGCGGCAGAGCCUGGCUGGUCACGUGAGGGUGACUCAUCUAGCAGCGGCAGAGCCUGGCAGGUCAAAGGUCACGUGAGGGUGACUCAUCUAGGAGCGGUAGAGCCUGGCAGGUCAAAGGUCACGUGAGGGUGACUCAUCUAGCAGCGGCAGAGCCUGGCUGGUCACGUGAGGGUGACUCAUCUAGCAGCGGCAGAGCCUGGCAGGUCACAGGUCACGUGAGGGUGACUCAUCUAGCAGCGGCAGAGCCUGGCAGGUCACGUGAGGGUGACUCAUCUAGCAGCGGCAGAGCCUGGCUGGUCACGUGAGGGUGACUCAUCCAGCAGCGGCAGAGCCUGGCUGGUCACGUGAGGGUGACUCAUCUAGCAGUGGCAGAGCCUGGCAGGUCACAGGUCACGUGAGGGUGACUCAUCUAGCAGCGGCAGAGCCUGGCUGGUCACGUGAGGGUGACUCAUCUAGCAGCGGCAGAGCCUGGCUGGUCACGUGAGGGUGACUCAUCUAGCAGCGGCAGUGCCUGGCUGGUCACGUGAGGGUGACUCAUCUAGCAGCGGCAGAGCCUGGCUGGUCACGUGAGGGUGACUCAUCUAGCAGUGGCAGAGCCUGGCAGGUCACAGGUCACGUGAGGGUGACUCAUCUAGCAGCGGCAGAGCCUGGCUGGUCACGUGAGGGUGACUCAUCCAGCAGCGGCAGAGCCUGGCUGGUCACGUGAGGGUGACUCAUCUAGCAGUGGCAGAGCCUGGCUGGUCACGUGAGGGUGACUCAUCUAGCAGCGGCAGAGCCUGGCAGGUCAAAGGUCACGUGAGGGUGACUCAUCUAGCAGCGGCAGAGCCUGGCAGGUCAAAGGUCACGUGAGGGUGACUCAUCUAGCAGUGGCAGAGCCUGGCUGGUCACGUGAGGGUGACUCAUCUAGCAGUGGCAGAGCCUGGCAGGUCACAGGUCACGUGAGGGUGACUCAUCUAGCAGUGGCAGAGCCUGGCAGGUCACAGGUCACGUGAGGGUGACUCAUCUAGCAGCGGCAGAGCCUGGCAGGUCAAAGUCACGUGAGAGUGACUCAUCUAGCAGCGGCAGAGCCUGGCAGGUCACAGGUCACGUGAGGGUGACUCAUCUAGCAGUGGCAGAGCCUGGCAGGUGACGUGAGGGUGACUCAUCUAGCAGCGGCAGAGCCUGGCUGGUCACGUGAGGGUGACUCAUCUAGCAGCGGCAGAGCCUGGCUGAGCAAAGGGCGUGGUAGUAGUAGUAGUAUCUAGUAGUACUAUAUAACUAUUAACUAGUUAGUAGUAUCUAGUAGUACUAUAUAACUAGUUAGUAGUAUCUAGUAGUACUAUAUAACUAUUAACUAGUUAGUAGUAGUAUAUAAUUAGUAGUAACCUCUACUAACAAGUCACAAUGUCUCUACCAGUUUGGAUCAUCAACCACUACAGACGUGUUGAUGGUGGUGAUGGUGGUGGUGAUGGUGGUGGUGAUGGUGGUGGUGAUGAUGGUGAUGGUGGUGAUGAAGGAUGGGUUGAGUCUGCAUCACCUGUGAUGCCGAAGCGACGUUAUGGCGGUGGUGAUGGUGGUGGUGGAGGUAGUGAUGGUGGUAGUGGUGGUGAUGAUAGUGGUGAUGGUGGUAGUGAU